rnacentral:rRNA from 1 species
UGGGGAAUCUUGGACAAUGGGGGGCAACCCUGAUCCAGCCAUGCCGCGUGAGUGAUGAAGGCCCUAGGGUCGUAAAGCUCUUUCGCCUGUGAAGAUAAUGACGGUAGCCGGAGAAGAAGCCCCGGCUAACUCCGUGCCAGCAGCCGCGGUAAUACGGAGGGGGUUAGCGUUGUUCGGAAUUACUGGGCGUAAAGCGCACGUAGGCGGACCAGAAAGUUGGGGGGUGAAAUCCCGGGGGCUCAACCCCGGAACUGCCUCCAAAACUAUUGGUCUAGAGUUCGAGAGAGGUGAGUGGAAUUCCAAGUGUAGAGGUGAAAUUCGUAGAUAUUUGGAGGAACACCAGUGGCGAAGGCGGCUCACUGGCUCGAUACUGACGCUGAGGUGCGAAAGUGUGGGGAGCAAACAGGAUUAGAUACCCUGGUAGUCCACACCGUAAAACGAUGAAUGCCAGUCGUCGGGGUAGCAUGCUAUUCGGUGACACACCUAACGGAUUAAGCA